CACUCCUGCGGGAGGCAGCAGUGGGGAAUUUUGGACAAUGGGCGAAAGCCUGAUCCAGCAAUGCCGCGUGUGUGAAGAAGGCCUUCGGGUUGUAAAGCACUUUUGUCCGGAAAGAAAUCCUUGGCUCUAAUACAGUCGGGGGAUGACGGUACCGGAAGAAUAAGCACCGGCUAACUACGUGCCAGCAGCCGCGGUAAUACGUAGGGUGCGAGCGUUAAUCGGAAUUACUGGGCGUAAAGCGUGCGCAGGCGGUUUGCUAAGACCGAUGUGAAAUCCCCGGGCUCAACCUGGGAACUGCAUUGGUGACUGGCAGGCUAGAGUAUGGCAGAGGGGGGUAGAAUUCCACGUGUAGCAGUGAAAUGCGUAGAGAUGUGGAGGAAUACCGAUGGCGAAGGCAGCCCCCUGGGCCAAUACUGACGCUCAUGCACGAAAGCGUGGGGAGCAAACAGGAUUAGAAACCCUGGUAGUCCC
rnacentral:rRNA from 1 species